rnacentral:rRNA from 1 species
UACGUAGGGUGCAAGCGUUGUCCGGAAUUAUUGGGCGUAAAGAGCUCGUAGGCGGUUUGUCGCGUCGAAUGUGAAAACCCGGGGCUCAACCCCGGGCCUGCAUUCGAUACGGGCAGACUAGAGUUCGGUAGGGGAGUCUGGAAUUCCUGGUGUAGCGGUGAAAUGCGCAGAUAUCAGGAGGAACACCGGUGGCGAAGGCGGGACUCUGGGCCGAUACUGACGCUGGGGAGCGAAAGCGUGGGGAGCAAACAGG